UGAGCAAUCUGCCCUUCUCAUCGGAAUAAGCGUUGGAAACGACGUCUAAUGCCGAAUACGACCUCCUUUCGCAUGAUCGGAGGUGGAAAGCUCCGGCGGAGAAAGAUGAGCUCGCAGCCUAUCAGCUAGUUGGUGUGGGUAAUGGCCCACCAAGGCGACGACGGGUAGCCGGCCUGAGAGGGUGACCGGCCACACUGGGACUGAGACACGGCCCAGACUCCGUAGGAGG
rnacentral:rRNA from 1 species